UACGUAGGGGGCUAGCGUUGCUCGGAAUCACUGGGCGUAAAGGGUGCGUAGGCGGGUUUUUAAGUCAGGGGUGAAAUCCUGGAGCUCAACUCCAGAACUGCCUUUGAUACUGAAGAUCUUGAGUUCGGGAGAGGUGAGUGGAACUGCGAGUGUAGAGGUGAAAUUCGUAGAUAUUCGCAAGAACACCAGUGGCGAAGGCGGCUCACUGGCCCGAUACUGACGCUGAGGCACGAAAGCGUGGGGAGCAAACAGG
rnacentral:rRNA from 1 species